rnacentral:tRNA from 1 species
GCCCAAGUGGCGGAAUGGUAGACGCAGGGGAUUCAAAAUCCCCCGGUCGAAAGAUCGUGUCGGUUCGAGUCCGACCUUGGGCA